rnacentral:rRNA from 1 species
AAUCAACGCUGGCGGCGUGCCUCAGACAUGCAAGUCGAACGAUUAAACUUCCCUUCGGGGAAGAUAUAAAGUGGCGCACGGGUGAGUAACACGUAGGUAAUGUACCUUUGGGUGGGGAAUAACUUAGGGAAACUUAAGCUAAUACCGCAUAAUGCAGCGGCUCCUUCGGGAGACAGUUGUUAAAGAUUUAUCGCCUAAAGAGCAGCCUGCGGCAGAUUAGCUAGUUGGUAAGGUAACGGCUUACCAAGGCUACGAUCUGUAUCCGACCUGAGAGGGUGGUCGGACACACUGACACUGGGUAGCGGGUCAGACUCCUACGGGAGGCAGCAGUCGGGAAUUUUGGGCAAUGGGCGAAAGCCUGACCCAGCAACGCCGCGUGAAGGAUGAAGUCUUUCGGGAUGUAAACUUCGUAAGAAUAGGAAGAAUAUGUGACGGUACAAUUUGUAAGGUCCGGCUAACUACGUG